UCGGAAUGGCAUGGAGGCUGGAAAGCCUGGAUCUUUUCUCAGUCUAAUGCAGGGAAGGCCCUUCCUCUUAGGAUGGAUUUACAAGCCAGGAAUCCUCACCGAGCGCUGCUGCCUGUGAUGAGCCCUGAUGACUCUGAGCACGCACACUCUGCUCAGAGUGAGGAUCCACUUUCAAGGCACAGUGUGCAUGAAAAGGUGCAAAAUUAACUGGACAGAUCUUAAAAGUCCGCAGCAGAAAGCCAAGAAAUAAACACAAACCAAGGGAGAGAGCAUUGGGGAGAGAAUCCUUAUACUCUUCACUUGGCUCUUUCUACAGUACAUUGGGUGAAAUUGCACAUAUUUGGAAGUACUUUGAGCCAACUGAACAUUCGAGAAUUUGUAGCGUGACCUCGAUACAUGUUGGAGAGACACAUCCAUCAUUAUAGAAAACAGUUCCAGCCUGCCACGCUUACCCUCUUGACAGAAAAUAUAAAGAACUGAGUAAUCAGGAUGUGCUUGCUGUGGACCCACCAUACCAUGUGGGAAUGUGCCCAGGUUCCCAUGACUGGUAUCUAGUUCCUCUCUCCAAAUUUCUACAGAGAACAAACUUUUAAAAAACGACAUUAAUGUCUCUGGAGCUGAGGCCCUAAUUCCUUGGAGACAUCAUGUGUUCAUUGUCUUGCAUGACCACGGGUGAGGUACUGGAAAGACUCGACUGCACCCACAUGCCAGUGACUGGAAGCCACUUUUGUAUGAAGAUCAAGCUUUUGACAUGUGGUCUGGGCUGGAUUACAGGAUACCCAGUUUUACAGAGUUCCAGAUGGUCUUGUGUGGUAGAGUCAAGUGGUCAUCAGUUCUAACAAAAUGUGGAUAUACAGUCAUUACACAGAGAAGACACAUCUACUCAGAGAGAAGAUGGUGGAUAACUCAGAAAUAAACCAAGUGAUUUUUUAUUUGAUUUUAGAAAUGCAUUAAAUGACUUGGUGGGAUGUUCACUUAUGCCAGAGGCCUUGUGUUGGUUAUCACGUGUAAGGUAGCACACGUGACCUCCUCCGAGGCACCAGACAUCUCAGCAGUUCAAGGAGUUGCCAUGGUCUUGGGAUUCACAAAGAGAGCUCUGCUUCAUCUGUUCCUGUUUGUCCUGAGAUAGUAAAACACACACACACACACACACACACACACACGCACACGCACACGCACACGCACACGCACACGCACACGCACACGCGCACACACACACAUUUUUGUUCAUUUUUUUAAAACCUGGAGACAUGAUGAAAAUGGAAUGGAAAUGUUCAAAUUAGGAAAGCUACACUGUGCUCCUAAAAGCUAAAUUCACAGAGGAAAAAAAAUGGUGGUCAGGAACCAGCAACAGCAAGAUAAACCCAAACUUCAGGCACCAUGAACCUGAAGACAGAUUUGACUUGGCUCAGAAGUAAUUCUGUCUUGGAUGCAAGCAUGUUGAUG